rnacentral:rRNA from 1 species
UACGUAGGCAGCAAGCGUUGUUCGGAGUUACUGGGCGUAAAGGGUGCGUAGGCGGCUUUUUAAGUUUGGUGUGAAAUCUCCCGGCUCAACUGGGAGGGUGCGCCGAAUACUGAGAGGCUAGAGUGCGGGAGAGGAAAGUGGAAUUCCUGGUGUAGCUGUGAAAUGCGUAGAUAUUCGGAAGAACACCAGUGGCGAAGGCGACUUACUGGACACAUAUUGACGCUGAGGUGCGAAAGCGUGGGGAGCAAACAGG